rnacentral:rRNA from 1 species
CCUACGGGGGGCUGCAGUGGGGAAUAUUGGACAAUGGGGGGAACCCUGAUCCAGCCAUGCCGCGUGUGUGAAGAAGGCCCUCGGGUUGUAAAGCACUUUCAGUGAGGAAGAACGCCUGGUGGUUAAUACCCAUUAGGAAAGACAUCACUCACAGAAGAAGCACCGGCUAACUCCGUGCCAGCAGCCGCGGUAAUACGGAGGGUGCGAGCGUUAAUCGGAAUUACUGGGCGUAAAGCGCGCGUAGGUGGCUUGAUAAGCCGGUUGUGAAAGCCCCGGGCUCAACCUGGGAACGGCAUCCGGAACUGUCAAGCUAGAGUGCAGGAGAGGAAGGUAGAAUUCCCGGUGUAGCGGUGAAAUGCGUAGAGAUCGGGAGGAAUACCAGUGGCGAAGGCGGCCUUCUGGACUGACACUGACACUGAGGUGCGAAAGCGUGGGUAGCAAACAGGAUUAGAUACCCCGGUAGUC